ACUUAAAUUGAAGAGUUUGAUCAUGGCUCAGAUUGAACGCUGGCGGCAGGCCUAACACAUGCAAGUCGAGCGGUAGCACAGAGAGCUUGCUCUCGGGUGACGAGCGGCGGACGGGUGAGUAAUGUCUGGGAAACUGCCUGAUGGAGGGGGAUAACUACUGGAAACGGUAGCUAAUACCGCAUAACGUCGCAAGACCAAAGUGGGGGACCUUCGGGCCUCAUGCCAUCAGAUGUGCCCAGAUGGGAUUAGCUGGUAGGUGGGGUAACGGCUCACCUAGGCGACGAUCCCUAGCUGGUCUGAGAGGAUGACCAGCCACACUGGAACUGAGACACGGUCCAGACUCCUACGGGAGGCAGCAGUGGGGAAUAUUGCACAAUGGGCGCAAGCCUGAUGCAGCCAUGCCGCGUGUGUGAAGAAGGCCUUCGGGUUGUAAAGCACUUUCAGCGGGGAGGAAGGCGGUGAGGUUAAUAACCUCAUCGAUUGACGUUACCCGCAGAAGAAGCACCGGCUAACUCCGUGCCAGCAGCCGCGGUAAUACGGAGGGUGCAAGCGUUAAUCGGAAUUACUGGGCGUAAAGCGCACGCAGGCGGUCUGUCAAGUCGGAUGUGAAAUCCCCGGGCUCAACCUGGGAACUGCAUUCGAAACUGGCAGGCUAGAGUCUUGUAGAGGGGGGUAGAAUUCCAGGUGUAGCGGUGAAAUGCGUAGAGAUCUGGAGGAAUACCGGUGGCGAAGGCGGCCCCCUGGACAAAGACUGACGCUCAGGUGCGAAAGCGUGGGGAGCAAACAGGAUUAGAUACCCUGGUAGUCCACGCUGUAAACGAUGUCGAUUUGGAGGUUGUGCCCUUGAGGCGUGGCUUCCGGAGCUAACGCGUUAAAUCGACCGCCUGGGGAGUACGGCCGCAAGGUUAAAACUCAAAUGAAUUGACGGGGGCCCGCACAAGCGGUGGAGCAUGUGGUUUAAUUCGAUGCAACGCGAAGAACCUUACCUGGUCUUGACAUCCACAGAACUUUCCAGAGAUGGAUUGGUGCCUUCGGGAACUGUGAGACAGGUGCUGCAUGGCUGUCGUCAGCUCGUGUUGUGAAAUGUUGGGUUAAGUCCCGCAACGAGCGCAACCCUUUAUCCUUUGUUGCCAGCGGUUAGGCCGGGAACUCAAAGGAGACUGCCAGUGAUAAACUGGAGGAAGGUGGGGAUGACGUCAAGUCAUCAUGGCCCUUACGACCAGGGCUACACACGUGCUACAAUGGCAUAUACAAAGAGAAGCGACCUCGCGAGAGCAAGCGGACCUCAUAAAGUAUGUCGUAGUCCGGAUUGGAGUCUGCAACUCGACUCCAUGAAGUCGGAAUCGCUAGUAAUCGUAGAUCAGAAUGCUACGGUGAAUACGUUCCCGGGCCUUGUACACACCGCCCGUCACACCAUGGGAGUGGGUUGCAAAAGAAGUAGGUAGCUUAACCUUCGGGAGGGCGCUUACCACUUUGUGAUUCAUGACUGGGGUGAAGUCGUAACAAGGUAACCGUAGGGGAACCUGCGGUUGGAUCACCUCCUUACCUUAAAGAA
rnacentral:rRNA from 1 species